AGAGCUUAGAAUGAUGAACUCGAGGGGCUUUGAGUUUCGUUUGGUUCUUGUGAGAAUUCGAGACUGAGUUUGAGAGAGGGUGAGUUUGAGUUUGGUGAGAAAGUUGAAAUCAAGAAGGUUCCUGUGGGUUUGAAAUCGAAAGGUGAAAGAGUAUAUUCGGGAGUCGCUGGAAGAUGGACAGGUUGGAGGAAAAUGGGCAGCAGAUGGAACAUACAAUAGUGGUGAAACAAGAUGUUGUAGGAUUGAUUUUGAAGAACCGACUUUUAGAAUGCUUGAUUCCAGCUUCCUUGGCUCCAUUGUUUAGUUGAUGUUUAUCCUCUCCAUAUAUGGAUUAGAACAUCCAGCAACUCCCAUAGCUUUGUUGAUCUUCUUUGACCGCCACCAUGGUUUUCUUUCUUCUUCUCUGUUCAUGUCUCCCUCUUGGAAACAAUUCUUUCUUGUUCUCUGCCUCAAGCUUUUCUUCUUUUGUGGGCUUCUUCUCUCCAUCACCAUCUGAAACCACUUCUCACACGGCCUUCUUCUCAGGUUCUCAGCUGCAAGAAGAGUUUCAUCAUGGCUGGUUUCAUUAUCUUCUUCUUCUCUUCAGUCACUUUUGAGACUGAUUUCUUCUUGUUCUCUCACUCAUCUCACGGCCAACUUCUCUUUCUCUUGUUCUCACUUGUACUAUGUUUUUGUACUCACUCUCUGUUUUUGUCCAAGCUGUGUUUUUGCUUGUACACUCUCACAAGGUAUAAGCAUUACGAACACCAUGGAGAAGAGGAACAAAUAUUAACUUGAAAACUUGAAGAACCCUAAUUUCAGUUUGGGCAUCUCAAGACUCAGAUAUAAGGAAGAAGAAAGUCUUGUCGUUCUUUUGCUUUCAUUAAAAGCUACGUUUCAACUAAACGGGGGGUUUCCAAAUUUUAAACAGGACAAGUAACGGAGGGUCUAGCUCAUUAAGAAAAGUAACGUUGGAGGUUUUUAUGGAGUGGCUUGUGACAUAGGGUCACUUCAAGUUUUUAAUUGGCCAAGUGGGUCGCUGCAAGUUUUUAUUGUCGAAACGGGCCGCUAGGAGGGAGAGAAAUAAAUCGGUGACGAAUUUGACCUUUUGACCCAUAAACUUAUAGAUUCUGACUCGACAACUUGUGAAAUGUGGAAGCAAAAAUGACCCAAAGAGUUAAACUCUAAAACUUGUUUACACAGACAAAGCUGAAAUCUGACUCUGCUGGGUGGAAUUAGACUCGCAAACUCCAUUCUUGACCCGACAAUCUCUGCAUUUUGCAAAGUAAGAGUCUUGAGUCCCAGUUGAUUUAAAACUCGAAUAUUGUGAAGAAAUCUCACCAAAUCGAUUGUAAAGAAAUCCCAGUCCCAGUACAGCAAACUCAUCUCUAAACCUGAACUUGACGGAGCUCAUGCUGGACCGGAGCUUGAACGAACCAGAGCUUUACCAAACCAGAGCUUUACCGAAGAACCGGAGCUUUACUGAGCUUAUGCCGGUAUACGAGAGCGACAA